rnacentral:rRNA from 1 species
GCCUAGCCCUAAACCUCAGUAGUUGAGCAACAAAACUACUCGCCAGAAUACUACAAGCAACAGCUUGAAACUCAAAGGACUUGACGGUGCUUUACACCCCCUAGAGGAGCCUGUUCCAUAAUCGAUAAACCCCGAUCCACCCUACCCUCUCUUGCUCAGCCUAUAUACCGCCAUCUUCAGCAAACCCUGAUGAAGGCCACAAAGUGAGCGCAAAUGCCCACACCGCAAAAACGUUAGGUCAAGGUGUAGCCCAUGAGACGGUAAAAAAUGGGCUACAUUUUCUGCCUCAGAAUACCCCACGAAAACUCUUAUGAAACCUAAGAGUCCAAGGAGGAUUUAGCAGUAAAUUAAGAAUAGAGUGCUUAAUUGAACCAGGCCAUAAAGCGCGC